rnacentral:rRNA from 1 species
UACGAAGGGGGCUAGCGUUGCUCGGAAUUACUGGGCGUAAAGGGCGCGUAGGCGGCUAGGCAAGUCGAGGUGUAGAAACGCCCGAGCUUAACUCGGGAAUUGCAUCUGAAACUGCUGUGCUUGAGUUCUGGAGGGGGUAGUGGAAUUCCCAGUGUAGCGGUGAAAUGCGUAGAUAUUGGGAGGAACACCUGCGGCGAAGGCGGCUACCUGGACAGAAACUGACGCUGAGGCGGCGAAAGCUAGGGGAGCGAACGGG